rnacentral:rRNA from 1 species
AGAGUUUGAUCCUGGCUCAGAACGAACGCUGGCGGCAUGCCUAACACAUGCAAGUCGAACGCCCCGCAAGGGGAGUGGCGCACGGGUGAGUAACGCGUGGGAACCUGCCCUGGAGUGGGGGAUAACCCGGCGAAAGCCGGGCUAAUACCGCAUACGACCUGAGGGUGAAAGAUUUAUCGCUCUAGGAGGGGCCCGCGUCGGAUUAGCUAGUUGGUGAGGUAACGGCUCACCAAGGCGACGAUCCGUAGCUGGUCUGAGGGGAUGAUCAGCCACACUGGGACUGAGACACGGCCCAGACUCCUACGGGAGGCAGCAGUGGGGAAUAUUGGACAAUGGGGGCAACCCUGAUCCAGCAAUGCCGCGUGAGUGAUGAAGGCCUUAGGGUUGUAAAGCUCUUUCGCCCACGACGAUGAUGACGGUAGUGGGAGAAGAAGCCCCGGCUAACUUCG